rnacentral:rRNA from 1 species
AACGAACGCUGGCGGCGUGCCUAACACAUGCAAGUCGAACGGGAAAACCCGCAAGGGUGAGUACAGUGGCGCACGGGUGCGUAACACGUGGGUAAUCUGCCCAGAAGCCCGGAAUAACUCCCCGAAAGGGGUGCUAAUGCCGGAUGAGACCACGGGGACUUCGGUUCCUGGGGGAAAAGGUGGCCUCUGUAUACAAGCUAUCACUUCUGGAUGAGCCCGCGGCCCAUCAGCUAGUUGGCGGGGUAAUGGCCCACCAAGGCUACGACGGGUAGCGGGUCUGAGAGGACGAUGAGCCACACUGGAACGGAGACACGGUCCAGACUCAUACGGGAGGCAGCAGUGGGGAAUCUUGCGCAAUGGGCGAAAGCCUGACGCAGCAACGCGGCGUGUGUGAUGAAGGUCUUCGGAUCGUAAAGCACUGUCGGGAGGGACGAAUAAGGGCCGGGUGAACAAUCCGGUUCGACGACGGUACCUCCAGAGGAAGCACCGGCUAACUCUGUGCCAGCAGCCGCCGUAACAC